rnacentral:rRNA from 1 species
GAAGGGUACGUCCGGGGUAGGAGUGAAAUCCCCGUAAUCCUGGACGGACCGCCGAUGGGGAAACCACUUCAAGAGAACGGAUCCGACAGUGAGGGACGAAAGCUAGGGUCUCGAACCGGAUUAGAUACCCGGGUAGUCCUAGCCGUAAACGAUGCCUGUUAGGUGUGACUCCCACUACGAGUGGGUGUUGUGCCGUAGGGAAGCCGCUAAACAGGCCGCCUGGGAAGUACGUCUGCAAGGAUGAAACUUAAAGGAAUUGGCGGGGGAGCACUACAACCGGAGGAGCCUGCGGUUUAAUUGGACUCAACGCCGGACAUCUCACCAGCAUCGACUGUGGUAAUGACGGUCAGGUUGAUGACCUUACCCGAGCCACAGAGAGGAGGUGCAUGGCCGCCGUCAGCUCGUACCGUGAGGCGUCCUGUUAAGUCAGGCAACGAGCGAGACCCGCAUCCUUACUUGCCAGCAGCACCGCGAGGUGGCUGGGGACAGUAGGGAGACCGCCGUGGCUAACACGGAGGAAGGAACGGGCAACGGUAGGUCAGUAUGCCCCGAAUAUGCUGGGCAACACGCGGGCUACAAUGGUCGAGACAAUGGGUUCCAACGCCGAGAGGCGACGGUAAUCUCAGAAACU